GUUUAGUCAAGUCAUUACCGAGCAGCAUGGAACGGGAGCACCGGAUUGUGCGGGAAGGAAGCUGUUGAGACUGGGGACGCCCCAAUGAGAUGAGCAAGAAGAAAUGUGCCCCCCCUUCUCUCAACACCGCCUGUCCAAUGUGUUUCCUUUUCAACUUGAGAUGGAUGAAUGACUGCUGCCGCCACCUUGGCUUAUAAGUAGUUGUCUUUGCCAAUUAUAUUGGUCCACUAGUGACAAGGAGGCGCGAAAGGCACGCGAAGACGAUGAGCUAACGAAACCACUUGACGAGUCGACGUCCGGAUCACUAGAUGGGGCGGAUAUAACACAAGAGGGUCCGGAGGACAUGUCGACGUGACAAAUAUUGGGAGUCAACUGAGACGACGUCGCCUGCCUUUUCUGAAUCCGAAGCCCUUAUCGCGGCUCGCACAUCUGUUAAUUAAUACCAA
ensembl:ncRNA W06B11.6 ncRNA